rnacentral:rRNA from 1 species
CCAGAGAACUUUCCAGAGAUGGAUUGGUGCCUUCGGGAACUCUGAGACAGGUGCUGCAUGGCUGUCGUCAGCUCGUGUUCGUGAAAUGUUGGGUUAAGUCCCGCAACGAGCGCAACCCUUAUCCUUUGUUGCCAGCGGUUAGGCCGGGAACUCAAAGGAGACUGCCAGUGAUAAACUGGAGGAAGGUGGGGAUGACGUCAAGUCAUCAUGGCCCUUACGAGUAGGGCUACACACGUGCUACAAUGGCGCAUACAAAGAGAAGCGACCUCGCGAGAGCAAGCGGACCUCAUAAAGUGCGUCGUAGUCCGGAUUGGAGUCUGCAACUCGACUCCAUGAAGUCGGAAUCGCUAGUAAUCGUGGAUCAGAAUGCCACGGUGAAUACGUUCCCGGGCCUUGUACACACCGCCCGUCACACCAUGGGAGUGGGUUGCAAAAGAAGUAGGUAGCUUAACCUUCGGGAGGGCGCUUACCACUUUGUGAUUCAUGACUGGGGUGAAGUCGUAACAAGGUAAGCGUAGUGCU